rnacentral:rRNA from 1 species
CUGGCUCAGGAUGAACGCUGGCGGCGUGCUUAACACAUGCAAGUCGAACGAAGCGUCCCGCCCGAUGAAGUGGAGUGCUUGCACAAAGCAGAAUCAAUUGGGACGACUUAGUCGGCGGACGGGUGAGUAACGCGUGGGUAACCUGCCUUACACAGGGGGACAACAGUUGGAAACGACUGCUAAUACCGCAUAACCCGCUAGUACCGCAUGGUACAGACGGAAAAGAUUUAUCGGUGUAAGAUGGACCCGCGUCUGAUUAGCUAGUUGGUGAGGUAACGGCUCACCAAGGCGACGAUCAGUAGCCGGCCUGAGAGGGUGAACGGCCACAUUGGGACUGAGACACGGCCCAAACUCCUACGGGAGGCAGCAGUGGGGAAUAUUGGACAAUGGGGGAAACCCUGAAUCCAGCGACGCCGCGUGAGUGAAGAAGUAUUUCGGUAUGUAAAGCCCUAUCAGCAGGGAAGAAAAUGACGGUACCUGACUAAGAAGCCCCGGCUAACUACGUGCCAGCCGCUGC